rnacentral:rRNA from 1 species
GAACUUAAGCAUAUCAAUAAGCGGAGGAAAAGAAACUAACAAGGAUUCCCCUAGUAACUGCGAGUGAAGCGGGAAGAGCUCAAAUUUAAAAUCUGGCAGCUGAUGGGCUUGUCCGAGUUGUAAUCUAGAGAAGUGUCUUCCGCGCUGGGACCGUGUACAAGUCUCUUGGAAUGGAGCAUCAUAGAGGGUGAGAAUCCCGUCUCUGACACGGAAUUUACCGGUGCUUUUGUGAUGCGCUCUCGAAGAGUCGAGUUGUUUGGGAAUGCAGCUCAAAAUGGGUGGUAAAUUCCAUCUAAAGCUAAAUACAGGCGAGAGACCGAUAGCGAACAAGUACCGUGAGGGAAAGAUGAAAAGGACUUUGAAAAGAGAGUUAAACAUUACGUGAAAUUGUUGAAAGGGAAACGAUUCAAGUCAGUCGCAUUAGCCAGUAAUCAACCCUCGCAAUUAACCUUGCUGGGCUUACUUUCUGGUUGAUGGGUCAGCAUCAAUUUUGACCGUCAGAGAAAGGCUUUGCGGGGAAUGUGACAUCUUCGGAUGUGUUAUAGCCCCAACUCGCAUGUGAUGGUCGGGAUUGAGGAACUCAGCACGCCUUUACAGGUCAGGGCCGCCAGAAUGGCCCAUGUAAACGUAGCUUAGGAUGCUGGCAUAAUGGCUUGAACCGACCCGUCUUGAAACACGGACCAAGGAGUCUAACAUGCCUGCGAGUGUUUGGGUGGAAAACCCGAGCGCGAAGCGAAAGUGAACUUGGUUGAGAUCCCUGUCGUGGGGAGCACCGACGCCCGGACCAGACCUUCUGUGACGGAUCUGCGGUAGAGCAUGCAUGUUGGGACCCGAAA